GAGCAGUGGGGAAUUUUAUCGAAUGGGCGAAAACCUGAUCUACGAAAGCCGCGUCAAGGAAGCGGGGUUUAUUCCCGUACAAAAGCGUUUACAACCCGUAAGCCGCCCUGCGUGAGCGUGGCUGCUUGCGCCUAUUGCCAAUAUACCCACUGCUGCCUCCGUG
rnacentral:rRNA from 1 species